UCGUAGUGUGCACGUGAAUUGACACAGGUGACCGACAAUGGAAUGUACUAUGCUUUACUACGAACGUAAACAGGACUUGAAUGUUUCACUUGGGGCGAUGUGCAACAUCCUUCGCAGUGCAAUAUUACCAACGUGUGUGCCCACCAAGAACAGGUGUGUAUGACAGCCGAGAAUGUAAAUGAUAAUUUCCGGUUGUUUGGUAAAGGAGAAUUGUUUCGGGCAGAAGAAAAGGAAUUUAAAACAUUACUGUUGUUUCAACAAUUUAUGCAACAAACAUCAAAUAGAUAUGUUUACAUUACAGUCCGUAUUAUUAACUACAAUUUCAAAGUCUCAUACUCUUAAACCAGCCAUGAAACUGACAACCACGCAAAUUCCAACUAGUACAUUUAAAACAACUAUCAACCGUUCGCAUCAUGUUCAACACUUUCGAAUCCUUUCUUGAUUAUUAGAGUAAACGAUCUUGAUCUUCACUUCAGAAGUAAACCAUUUUGUUUUGCUGAAUACUAAAUAUUACUAUUAUUUAGGGAAACCAAUACAGAUAUUUUCUCUUUACAUAGCUUCAAGGUUUUGAAAUUGAUUUAUUCUAUUUCUUGAAAGAAACAGAAUUGUUUCAGAAGAGAAAGGUAUCCUACUAAGUUCUCAAAGAUGACAAUAAGGUGUCCAUUUAAUUUUUUCCUUGUUUUACAGACUGGCCCGUUGUAUUUAUAUACAAACAUAUAUAUUCAGAUUUCAAUUGAAUUUGUACUACUUAUUUUGCUGAUAUACUAAAGUAAUGGCGGCUGAUGGUUUGAUUACAAUUGCGAUCACCACCUACAUGCAUCUUUUUUUUCCAAAAGGAUCACACGUAACACAUAACUUUAAUCUGUUUCAAUUGUAUCCUCUACAAAUGUUUCCAAAUUGAAAUUUUGUCAACAUUACAUUUAUGUCAGUUUUUUCAACAAAGUCAAGAAUGUUUCAUUGGUAUAUCUUCCACAAAUUUCGUCUUUGUGCGUUACAGAGUUGUAUAAAUAAAUAACUGUGGACGUCAAAUACAGCAAAAAUUGUGUUGCCUUGAUUUGCCCAAUUUUGGAAGCAAUCGAUAGAAUUUUAUAGAAUUUUCAGAUAGUUUUGUUUGUUUAUUUGAUGUUUGUUUUAUUUUCUACUUUUGAUUGAAUACAAUACUUAUCACUA